CCGUUAAUUGAUGUAUGACGUACUUGUACUGAUUGAGAUUUUAACACGAAGUGAGUGGCGAACGGGUGAGUAACACGUGGGUAACCUGCCCAGAAGUAGGGGAUAACACCUGGAAACAGAUGCUAAUACCGUAUAACAGAGAAAACCGCAUGGUUUUCUUUUAAAAGAUGGCUCUGCUAUCACUUCUGGAUGGACCCGCGGCGUAUUAGCUAGUUGGUGAGGUAAAGGCUCACCAAGGCAGUGAUACGUAGCCGACCUGAGAGGGUAAUCGGCCACAUUGGGACUGAGACACGGCCCAGACUCCUACGGGAGGCAGCAGUAGGGAAUCUUCCACAAUGGACGCAAGUCUGAUGGAGCAACGCCGCGUGAGUGAAGAAGGGUUUCGGCUCGUAAAGCUCUGUUGUUAAAGAAGAACGUGGGUAAGAGUAACUGUUUACCCAGUGACGGUAUUUAACCAGAAAGCCACGGCUAACUACGUGCCAGCAGCCGCGGUAAUACGUAGGUGGCAAGCGUUAUCCGGAUUUAUUGGGCGUAAAGCGAGCGCAGGCGGCUUUUAAGUCUAAUGUGAAAGCCUUCGGCUCACCGAAGAAGUGCAUUGGACACUGGGAGACUUGAGUGCAUAAAAGGACAG
rnacentral:rRNA from 1 species